rnacentral:rRNA from 1 species
GAUGAACGCUAGCGGCAGGCCUAACACAUGCAAGUCGAGGGGUAGAAUUAGCUUGCUAAUUUGAGACCGGCGCACGGGUGCGUAACGCGUAUGCAAUCUACCUUGUACAGGGGGAUAGCCCAGAGAAAUUUGGAUUAAUACCCCAUGGUAUAAUUAAUUUGCAUGAAUUGAUUAUUAAAGUUCCAACGGUACAAGAUGAGCAUGCGUCCCAUUAGCUAGUUGGUGUGGUAACGGCAUACCAAGGCGACGAUGGGUAGGGGUCCUGGAGAGGGAGAUCCCCCACACCUGGUACUGAGACACGGACCAGACUCCUACGGGAGGCAGCAGUGAGGAAUAUUGGUCAAUGGUCGGAAGACUGAACCAGCCAUGCCGCGUGCAGGAAGAAGCAUCUAUGGUGUGUAAACUGCUUUUGUACGGGAAGAAACACUCCUACGUGUAGGAGCUUGACGGUACCGUAAGAAUAAGGAUCGGCUAACUCCGUGCCAGCAGCCGCGGUAAACG